rnacentral:lncRNA from 1 species
AAAUCACUUUGUCCUCACCAGACCUCAUACCCUGCCUUUUAUGGACGAUGCCACCAUCUGAUGUUUAACUGAGAGGUAAGGGGAGAAGAGUAAACUGGAAAGCUAGGAACAGAAGUGGAGUUGGGGACCAGCCUGUUUCCCACUUUGUGAUAUGCUGUUUAUCCUGAGAAAUUGACAAACAUCCAACUUCAGCCUCAGAUUGAGAAACUUUUAGAGUGGCCAUUCCUCCCGAAUUUUCAACUCACGUCCACCUAAUUGCUGCUCACCUUCCCAGGGUCUGUCCAGUCAGGAACAGUUUCAGAAUGUGGCUUUUUCAUCCCAGCUGCUUCCACAAUUCUAGGGCCCUUUUUCCUCUUCAGAAGAUUGACAACUGGACAUCUAUUGCCCAUUUGAAAAGAACCUACCUACAAUGGCCUUUGACCAAGCAGGCCUGCAUUCAGAACUAAAUAGUCAACGAAAGGGCACAUUUUCCAACCUCAACCCAGCUAGCUAAGAGUUUCCCAUGAUACCUUGAAGAGCAUCACUUUGCCACAUCCUCUACCCUUCUCUGUAUCUAUGGGCUAGCCUGGGUUGAAACUGCUAAAAUAAAAGACAAAGGAAUGCUUCCUCAUUAUUUCCACUUUGUGUGGUUUGAAAUGCUUACCUUUGGCCAGGC